ACGCUGGCGGCAUGCCUAACACAUGCAAGUCGAACGAGACCUUCGGGUCUAGUGGCGCACGGGUGCGUAACACGUGGGAAUUUGCCUCGGGGUAUGGAAUAACUCAGGGAAACUUGAGCUAAUACCAUAUAAUGUCUUCGGACCAAAGAUUUAUCGCCCUGAGAUAAGCCCGCGUAGGAUUAGCUAGUUGGUGAGGUAAAGGCUCACCAAGGCGACGAUCCUUAGCUGGUCUGAGAGGAUGAUCAGCCACACUGGGACUGAGACACGGCCCAGACUCCUACGGGAGGCAGCAGUGGGAAUUUUGGACAAUGGGCGCAAGCCUGAUCCAGCAAUGCCGCGUGCAGGAUGAAGGCCUUCGGGUUGUAAACUGCUUUGUACGGAACGAAACGGUGAGCUCUAAUACAGUUUGCUAAUGACGGUACCGUAAGAAUAAGCACCGGCUAACUACGUG
rnacentral:rRNA from 1 species